GGUUCUAUGGUGUAGCGGUUAGCAUAGCGGAUUCUGAUUCCGCCGACCCCGGUUCGAUUCCGGGUAGGACCU
rnacentral:tRNA from 1 species